CACUUGAAUUCUUCUUCAAAAUUUCAUUAAAUAAAAUUUCAAAAUUUACUUCAAAAGUAUUUUCCCGCAUAAUUCAUGUUUCUUCAAUACAUUCUCGACAGAAAAAUUGACAUUUCAGUGCAUUUUGAGCUAUUUUGAAAGAAAAUAAAGCGAGUUCCCUUGCAACGAGAAUAAUCCGAUACCGCCGGCGAGCCGUGUUCAUUCAACUUACAACUUGCAAAUUUGAGUUGAUUUUUCCGUCACUUUACAUAUUUUAAUGUAUAUGACACAGCUUUUUUUAAUGCACAUUCCACUGGAAACAACGGGUCUUCUUGAGGAUACAAGCACUUGGGCUGGUCCCAACAACCUACACCCGGGAUGAGGAGAAGAGGUUUCAUACUCGACAAGCGAUGGCCUUUCCAUUUCUUUCACGAGCUGAAAUAAUACCGAGUUCCAAUGACUUGGGCAUCAGAGCAGCAGUCCCUUGAUCGAUGAGCUCUUCGAGACCACCUGAAUUGCAAGAUCUGUAUGGCCAGUUUUUGUGUGACAAAAUAAAAGAUGAGGAAGGGUUGAAAAUCCCUCCAGCUAAGUUAGGGAUCAUGUAAUUGCCAUGGAAACCAAAUAUAGUAAUGUAUAACAGGUUGUAUAUUCCUGAAAGUGCAAUUGUUGGAUAAAUGUUAAUUUAUAUUGGCACUAAUGUAAUUUGAAGAUUGUCCUUAUUGUUAGCUUUACAUAAACACCAAAAGCAGAGGAUAUUGUUCUCAGUUGAAAUUGUGUCAUAUUUAUUACCAUAAUAGUAUUAUCAUAAUUGUGGUAAUGUAAUCCUAUUUGAAAUUUUGAACCAGUAUUUAUUUUAUGUGGGAUAUAAUGUUUUAUAUACACUGAAGUUCAAUAUGUGUUACUAUGUAAUUUUAGAUCUGAUCAAGUUUACCUUAAUGUUACUUAAUAAAACCCACUUAACUCCAAAGAAGUAUUUUGAAUAUUUGGUUCUUGCACUAUUUUGUAUCCCUUUUCUCGCUGAAUAUUUACCUUUUAUUGAGAGCUGUGGUGACGGGUUCCAUGACAUUUGCUCUGGCAAAUUCCACGCCAUAAUCUUAUGAACAGCUUCAACCAGUAAGGUCUAAACCUAACUUAAAACCAUAUUGCAACCCUGAACCUCUAUCUUAAGGGGCUUUCACAAUUGCUCGUGCGAUUGUUUGCGAUCACUUGGUCACAAUAUAUGUUGCACAGAAUUGCAACGGUGAAGGGUCGUAAGUAGUCGCGCAACCAAUUGUGAAAGGGGCUUUAGACAAAAUUAAGCCUGGGGCAAUUGUCGCAGGAGCAAAUGUUGUG